rnacentral:rRNA from 1 species
CUUGCCUCAUAUAAGAGGUCCAGCCUGCCCAGUGACAUUGUUCAACGGCCGCGGUAUCCUAACCGUGCGAAGGUAGCGUAAUCACUUGUUCUUUAAAUGAGGACUAGUAUGAAAGGCACCACGAGAGUCAUACUGUCUCCUCUCUCUAAUCAGUGAAACUAAUCUCCCCGUGAAGAAGCGGGGAUAAAAGUAUAAGACGAGAAGACCCUAUGGAGCUUAAAACAAAUAACACCUGCCCCCUUACCCCCCAAAUUUCAGAAAAAAUUUUUAUUUUUGGCAUCAUGAUUAUUAGUUUUUGGUUGGGGUGACCACGGAACAAAAAACAACUUCCGUAAUGAAAGACCCUCCACACUUAGUUAAGAGCUACAACUCUACGCAUCAACAAAUUGACAUUAAUUGACCCAACAUGUUGACCAAUGAAC